CAAAUGUCUGGAUGGUGAAAGCUUCCUUAUGACACUGUGUGCUAUUCUGAAGGUCAUGCUUUGUCCAAGGGCGGCCAGUAAAGGCUAACAAACGACUUCCUUCACCACUUGUACCUCUGCACAAGGCUUCCACCCACAAACGCCUCCUCCCCCGGAGUUCCUGCAGAACCUACCCCCACCUAACCUCCCUGAGUCAGACUCAGCGCCCUGAAGUCAAGCUUUCUGCACGCUGAGUUCUUCCAGAUGUGAGGUUGAGGAUUCUCCCAUCAGGCUGAAAGGUUGCGGGUCCCUAACAGAAGCAGAGGAUUGCUUCCACGUUUCUGAGCUCAGCCACGGCCUCUGUUCUUCGUGCUCUUGUGUCCAGCUUCCCAGAUCCCACCCUGCAGCAGGCCAAGCGUGCAUGGACAUGCAUGAAUGUAUCAUUAUAUAACAUAACUCAUUCUAAUAUUGAAUGGAAUCUUCUUGUCCUAGUCUUAACCCUCCAAAGUUGCAUGGAAAAAAAUUGAUUCUCUUUCUAUAGAACCAGGUUUAAAGACCUGUCUUCGUCUUCACUUCUUCAUUCCAUCUCCAGUUUGCAAUCAAGCUUAGCUCCCUCUGACCUUUUCAUAGACAGCCCAGCCUCCCCCCAUCCCUAUUUGCAGCCCAAAAGAUGAGUCCUGGCUGUGCUAUUCCUCUGCUGUGUGGUAUAAUAAAAUCCAGGCAACCUCUCUCUAAGUAUUUUUUCAUCUGAAAAUCAAGGGUCUCAAUAAUUACCGAAGUUAAAAUGGGCAAAAAAAGUAAAAUCUUAGGUUCAGUGUUGUGGCUCAGCAGGUUGAGCCUCACCUCUGACACCAGCAUCCCAUAUGGGUGCCUGCUCCAUUUCCAAUCCAACUCCCUGCUCAUGUGCCUGAGAAAGAAGUGGAAGAUGAUCCAAGUGCUUGGACCCUUGCCAUCCAUGCGGGAGGUGUGAACAGAAUUCCAGGCUCCUGGCUUUGUCUGGUCCAGCUCUGGCUGUUGCAGCCAUCUGCGGAGUGACCCAUUGGAUGGAAGCUCUCUCUGUCUGUCUCUCCCUCCGCAAACAUUAAAAAAAGUAAAAUCUUUUGUAAACUGUAAAGUACUAUGUAGGUAUCACCCACAGUGCUUAUUCAAAUUAAAAAUCCAGUCCACAGACAAAGAUUAGGUCCUUCUUUGCUUGACUUUUUUAGUAAAAUUUGGCCACACACUUUGGGAUUCAGCAACAAUAGUUCCUUUGGAAUGCUAGUGGAUAGUAGGAAUUACUCCAGGGAAAUCAGUCUAUUUAUAAUGACAAUGGUCCAGCCUAGUUCUUUUAAAAAACAUAAUAGUUAAGACCUCCCUCUGUCCAGGCUAUGCCUCCACACUCAACCAACUUUAUAAUUACUCCCCUCCCUCCAAGGCUCAAAGGUCUUUGGGGUCUCCACACAAAAUCUUACCACUGAGGCUCUGAGGAAGGACUGAAUUCACUCCAAGGGCUUUUUCUGCUAAAAAAUCAUUGCCCACCUUACAUUUUUUUUUCUAUUUCUUGGCUCUGUUACCCUCUCAAGACAAAGCCAAGUUCCCAACGCAGACUCAUUUUUUUCCCUCAAGAAUCCAUAUCACACAGUACAGAUGUACUGCACUACAAGUAAGCCAUAGCAUACCAUGUCAAUAAUCAGUUAAGAUCAGUUAAGGGGGGGGGGGCUGG